UGGUAUUCCUCCCUUUUAACUCAUUUGUACUGCACUAUUUUGAAACUUGAUUUCUGGCUAUAUUCUCUGAAAGGACAUUGUUGUUGUAGUAAUGAUGAGAUUUUAAAGCAAGGAUAUGCUAUUGCAAAACUCAAAACCUAAAGAUGGAACUAGUAAAGUGGAAGUUGUAGAUUUACCAGUGUUCGGAUUGGAAAAGUUGGCAAUCGCGACAGACAAUUUUCAGGAAAUUAACAAGCUUGAGCAAGGUGGUUUUGGCACAUUAUACAAGGGAAAAUUAGAAGAUGGACUGCAUGGACAGAGAAAAUAGGUUACCAAAACUGAGACCAGCUCAACAUAUAGCUUCCUAAGGCAAGAAGGAUGUUACUAUUCAAACUUCACAGGCUGGAUCAGAAAUGCAAAAUUAGGUUGAAGCCGCUACACAUCAGUUUUAGAUAUUUGGUGC